UGCUCAGUCGGAUAACAGUAGUCCGCCCGCCUGUUAAGCGGGACGGUGCUGGUGCGAGUCCAGCCUGAGCAGCCA
rnacentral:tRNA from 1 species